GGAGGCAGCAGUGGGGAAUUUUCCGCAAUGGGCGAAAGCCUGACGGAGCAACGCCGCGUGAGGGAGGAAGGUCUUUGGAUUGUAAACCUCUUUUCUCAAGGAAGAAGUUCUGACGGUACUUGAGGAAUCAGCCUCGGCUAACUCCGUGCCAGCAGCCGCGGUAAUACGGGGGAGGCAAGCGUUAUCCGGAAUUAUUGGGCGUAAAGCGUCCGCAGGUGGUCAGCCAAGUCUGCCGUCAAAUCAGGUUGCUUAACGACCUAAAGGCGGUGGAAACUGGCAGACUAGAGAGCAGUAGGGGUAGCAGGAAUUCCCAGUGUAGCGGUGAAAUGCGUAGAGAUUGGGAAGAACAUCGGUGGCGAAAGCGUGCUACUGGGCUGUAUCUGACACUCAGGGACGAAAGCUAGGGGAGCGAAAGGGAUUAGAUACCCCUGUAGUCCUAGCCGUAAACGAUGGAUACUAGGCGUGGCUUGU
rnacentral:rRNA from 1 species